rnacentral:rRNA from 1 species
ACAUGCAAGUCGAGGGGCAGCAUGGUCUUUACUUGCUAAGGCCGAUGGCGACCGGCGCACGGGUGAGUAACACGUAUCCAACCUGCCGUCUACUCUUGGACAGCCUUCUGAAAGGAAGAUUAAUACAAGAUGGCAUCAUGAGUCCGCAUGUUCACAUGAUUAAAGGUAUUCCGGUAGACGAUGGGGAUGCGUUCCAUUAGAUAGUAGGCGGGGUAACGGCCCACCUAGUCUUCGAUGGAUAGGGGUUCUGAGAGUAAGGUCCCCCACAUUGGAACUGAGACACGGUCCAAACUCCUACGGGAGGCAGCAGUGAGGAAUAUUGGUCAAUGGGCGAGAGCCUGAACCAGCCAAGUAGCGUGAAGGAUGACUGCCCUAUGGGUUGUAAACUUCUUUUAUAAAGGAAUAAAGUCGGGUAUGGAUACCCGUUUGCAUGUACUUUAUGAAUAAGGAUCGGCUAACUCCGUGCCAGCAGCCGCGGUAAUACGGAGGAUCCGAGCGUUAUCCGGAUUUAUUGGGUUUAAAGGGAGCGUAGAUGGAUGUUUAAGUCAGUUGUGAAAGUUUGCGGCUCAACCGUAAAAUUGCAGUUGAUACUGGAUAUCUUGAGUGCAGUUGAGGCAGGCGGAAUUCGUGGUGUAGCGGUGAAAUGCUUAGAUAUCACGAAGAACUCCGAUUGCGAAGGCAGCCUGCUAAGCUGCAACUGACAUUGAGGCUCGAAAGUGUGGGUAUCAAACAGGAUUAGAUACCCUGGUAGUCCACACGGUAAACGAUGAAUACUCGCUGUUUGCGAUAUACUGCAAGCGGCCAAGCGAAAGCGUUAAGUAUUCCACCUGGGGAGUACGCCGGCAACGGUGAAACUCAAAGGAAUUGACGGGGGCCCGCACAAGCGGAGGAACAUGUGGUUUAAUUCGAUGAUACGCGAGGAACCUUACCCGGGCUUAAAUUGCAGAUGAAUUACGGUGAAAGCCGUAAGCCGCAAGGCAUCUGUGAAGGUGCUGCAUGGUUGUCGUCAGCUCGUGCCGUGAGGUGUCGGCUUAAGUGCCAUAACGAGCGCAACCCUUGUUGUCAGUUACUAACAGGUUCCGCUGAGGACUCUGACAAGACUGCCAUCGUAAGAUGUGAGGAAGGUGGGGAUGACGUCAAAUCAGCACGGCCCUUACGUCCGGGGCUACACACGUGUUACAAUGGGGGGUACAGAGGGCCGCUACCACGCGAGUGGAUGCCAAUCCCCAAAACCUCUCUCAGUUCGGACUGGAGUCUGCAACCCGACUCCACGAAGCUGGAUUCGCUAGUAAUCGCGCAUCAGCCACGGCGCGGUGAAUACGUUCCCGGGCCUUGUACACACCGCCCGUCAAGCCAUGGGAGCCGGGGGUACCUGAAGUGCGUAACCGCGAGGAGCGCCCUAGGGUAAAACUGGUGACUGGGGCUAAGUCG